rnacentral:lncRNA from 1 species
AUUUUCUUUUGUUUUUGUAUCAAUCACUGAGUAUUGUUAUGAGUUUGUAUCAUUUUGUAAUAAAUAAAUGUUGGAAUAAAUAGUGAUACAACCAAACAUAAAAUAAAAAAAUACAAAAUAAAAAAAUAAAAAAAUAAAAAAUAAAAUAAAAUAAAAUAAACAAACAAACCUUGCACCUUGAAAACACGUUAAAUUCAUGGUAAAAAAAAAAUAUUAUUUUACAAAUGUGCUAAAGCUUAGAGUUAUGAAUACCUAUAUAUAUAUAUAUAUAUAUAUAUAUUGUUAUAUAUAUAUAUAUAUAUAUUAUUUUUUUUUUAAUCCUGAAUAAAGAGCGUCCUGUCAUUAAUUAAUGUAGACAUGAACUAAUCUGCUAUGGAUGCAGGUUAAUAUGCAGCAUAUCCUAUUGCUAUAACGACUUGAAAGUAAUUGUACAACCUGUGUAGACACUUGAAAUAUUGAUUGAUACAUUCAUUCAACCAACAUUUAUUUGUUUGUUUGCUUAGAUAGGCUUUUGCUGUAAUCUAAAAAGACUUAACAAAACAAGCUCUACUCUCUCAUUACUAGGCUAUAAGAGGGGUGGGCUUUGCGUUUAGUUCAGACGCCCCUGUGACAAACAGUGAGUCACGCCAAGACUCGCUCGAGCCGCUGUGUUGGUUUCUUGGCGCAACGUCACGGUUCCUCAUAUUUAUUAAGCGAGGAGGCAGCGGCAUCGACUAAACUGGCUGCUUCUGGUUUCAAGACACAUAAACACAAAGCAAUACGCUGCCUGCGAAUAUACAAAGAACGGUGGAUCGCACUCCGCUUUACGCUGAAGACGACAAAGUCAGGACCCCAUCAAAGAAACUCUCCACCUCACUGUAGAGUGUCCUUUCCAUAGGAGUUUCUGGUCGUGAGUCACUGAUAAACUGCUUCUCUCAGUUCAACAGGAGGCCAAUGCAGAUCAGUGAGAGAACACACAUUCACAAGCUUAGUUUGCUAAAGGGACCCUUUCAUUAAACAAGCAUUAAUCCAAAAAUCAGGCACUUCUCAUAUUAUCACUGUUGGCACUAACCAAAUUGACAAAAAAAUGAUAAAAUUGGUCUAACUUUUCAGAAUCUGGAAAAGCUGUCUUCACUGUAAUUUUGGAUAUACAGCUGCAAAGCUUGUCUAUAGUUGGGUUGUUUUUCUAGCUGUAGGCCACACAUAGAUAUUUCUAGUAUGAUUCAUGCUUCCAGCA